rnacentral:rRNA from 1 species
AACGAACGCUGGCGGCAGGCUUAACACAUGCAAGUCGAACGGGCACCUUCGGGUGUCAGUGGCAGACGGGUGAGUAACGCGUGGGAACGUACCCUUCGGUUCGGAAUAACCCAGGGAAACUUGGGCUAACACCGGAUACGUCCGCAAGGAGAAAGAUUUAUCGCCGAAGGAUCGGCCCGCGUCGGAUUAGCUAGUUGGUGGGGUAAUGGCCCACCAAGGCGACGAUCCGUAGCUGGUCUGAGAGGAUGAUCAGCCACACUGGGACUGAGACACGGCCCAGACUCCUACGGGAGGCAGCAGUGGGGAAUAUUGGACAAUGGGCGAAAGCCUGAUCCAGCCAUGCCGCGUGAGUGAAGAAGGCCUUAGGGUUGUAAAGCUCUUUCAGCGGGAAGAUAAUGACGGUACCCGCAGAAGAAGUCCCGGCUAACUUCGUGCCAGCAGCCGC